rnacentral:misc_RNA from 1 species
GAUGAAGAACGUAGCGAAAUGCGAUACGUAAUGUGAAUUGCAGAAUUCAGUGAAUCAUCGAAUCUUUGAACGCACAUUGCGCCUGCCAGCACUCUGGCAGGCAUGCCUGUUCGAGCGUCAUUUCAACCAUCAAGCCCUAGGCUUGCGUUGGAGCCCUGCGGCUGCCGCAGGCCCCUAAAAGCAGUGGCGGGCUCGCUAUCACACCGAGUGCAGUAGAUUACUCUUCGCUCAGGGCGUGUGGCGGGUUCCAGCCGUGAAACCCCCUACUUCUCAAGGUUGACCUCGGAUCAGGUAGGAAUACCCGCUGAACUUAAGCAUAUCAAUAAGCGGAGGAA